rnacentral:rRNA from 1 species
AGCGUACACGGUGGAUGCCCUGGCAGUCAGAGGCGAUGAAGGACGUGCUAAUCUGCGAUAAGCGUCGGUAAGGUGAUAUGAACCGUUAUAACCGGCGAUUUCCGAAUGGGGAAACCCAGUGUGUUUCGACACACUAUCAUUAACUGAAUCCAUAGGUUAAUGAGGCGAACCGGGGGAACUGAAACAUCUAAGUACCCCGAGGAAAAGAAAUCAACCGAGAUUCCCCCAGUAGCGGCGAGCGAACGGGGAGCAGCCCAGAGCCUGAAUCAGUGUGUGUGUUAGUGGAAGCGUCUGGAAAGGCGCGCGAUACAGGGUGACAGCCCCGUACACAAAAAUGCACAUGCUGUGAGCUCGAUGAGUAGGGCGGGACACGUGGUAUCCUGUCUGAAUAUGGGGGGACCAUCCUCCAAGGCUAAAUACUCCUGACUGACCGAUAGUGAACCAGUACCGUGAGGGAAAGGCGAAAAGAACCCCGGCGAGGGGAGUGAAAAAGAACCUGAAACCGUGUACGUACAAGCAGUGGGAGCACGCUUAGGCGUGUGACUGCGUACCUUUUGUAUAAUGGGUCAGCGACUUAUAUUCUGUAGCAAGGUUAACCGAAUAGGGGAGCCGAAGGGAAACCGAGUCUUAACUGGGCGUUAAGUUGCAGGGUAUAGACCCGAAACCCGGUGAUCUAGCCAUGGGCAGGUUGAAGGUUGGGUAACACUAACUGGAGGACCGAACCGACUAAUGUUGAAAAAUUAGCGGAUGACUUGUGGCUGGGGGUGAAAGGCCAAUCAAACCGGGAGAUAGCUGGUUCUCCCCGAAAGCUAUUUAGGUAGCGCCUCGUGAAUUCAUCUCCGGGGGUAGAGCACUGUUUCGGCAAGGGGGUCAUCCCGACUUACCAACCCGAUGCAAACUGCGAAUACCGGAGAAUGUUAUCACGGGAGACACACGGCGGGUGCUAACGUCCGUCGUGAAGAGGGAAACAACCCAGACCGCCAGCUAAGGUCCCAAAGUCAUGGUUAAGUGGGAAACGAUGUGGGAAGGCCCAGACAGCCAGGAUGUUGGCUUAGAAGCAGCCAUCAUUUAAAGAAAGCGUAAUAGCUCACUGGUCGAGUCGGCCUGCGCGGAAGAUGUAACGGGGCUAAACCAUGCACCGAAGCUGCGGCAGCGACACUAUGUGUUGUUGGGUAGGGGAGCGUUCUGUAAGCCUGCGAAGGUGUGCUGUGAGGCAUGCUGGAGGUAUCAGAAGUGCGAAUGCUGACAUAAGUAACGAUAAAGCGGGUGAAAAGCCCGCUCGCCGGAAGACCAAGGGUUCCUGUCCAACGUUAAUCGGGGCAGGGUGAGUCGACCCCUAAGGCGAGGCCGAAAGGCGUAGUCGAUGGGAAACAGGUUAAUAUUCCUGUACUUGGUGUUACUGCGAAGGGGGGACGGAGAAGGCUAUGUUGGCCGGGCGACGGUUGUCCCGGUUUAAGCGUGUAGGCUGGUUUUCCAGGCAAAUCCGGAAAAUCAAGGCUGAGGCGUGAUGACGAGGCACUACGGUGCUGAAGCAACAAAUGCCCUGCUUCCAGGAAAAGCCUCUAAGCAUCAGGUAACAUCAAAUCGUACCCCAAACCGACACAGGUGGUCAGGUAGAGAAUACCAAGGCGCUUGAGAGAACUCGGGUGAAGGAACUAGGCAAAAUGGUGCCGUAACUUCGGGAGAAGGCACGCUGAUAUGUAGGUGAAGCGACUUGCUCGUGGAGCUGAAAUCAGUCGAAGAUACCAGCUGGCUGCAACUGUUUAUUAAAAACACAGCACUGUGCAAACACGAAAGUGGACGUAUACGGUGUGACGCCUGCCCGGUGCCGGAAGGUUAAUUGAUGGGGUUAGCGCAAGCGAAGCUCUUGAUCGAAGCCCCGGUAAACGGCGGCCGUAACUAUAACGGUCCUAAGGUAGCGAAAUUCCUUGUCGGGUAAGUUCCGACCUGCACGAAUGGCGUAAUGAUGGCCAGGCUGUCUCCACCCGAGACUCAGUGAAAUUGAACUCGCUGUGAAGAUGCAGUGUACCCGCGGCAAGACGGAAAGACCCCGUGAACCUUUACUAUAGCUUGACACUGAACAUUGAGCCUUGAUGUGUAGGAUAGGUGGGAGGCUUUGAAGUGUGGACGCCAGUCUGCAUGGAGCCGACCUUGAAAUACCACCCUUUAAUGUUUGAUGUUCUAACGUUGACCCGUAAUCCGGGUUGCGGACAGUGUCUGGUGGGUAGUUUGACUGGGGCGGUCUCCUCCUAAAGAGUAACGGAGGAGCACGAAGGUUGGCUAAUCCUGGUCGGACAUCAGGAGGUUAGUGCAAUGGCAUAAGCCAGCUUGACUGCGAGCGUGACGGCGCGAGCAGGUGCGAAAGCAGGUCAUAGUGAUCCGGUGGUUCUGAAUGGAAGGGCCAUCGCUCAACGGAUAAAAGGUACUCCGGGGAUAACAGGCUGAUACCGCCCAAGAGUUCAUAUCGACGGCGGUGUUUGGCACCUCGAUGUCGGCUCAUCACAUCCUGGGGCUGAAGUAGGUCCCAAGGGUAUGGCUGUUCGCCAUUUAAAGUGGUACGCGAGCUGGGUUUAGAACGUCGUGAGACAGUUCGGUCCCUAUCUGCCGUGGGCGCUGGAGAACUGAGGGGGGCUGCUCCUAGUACGAGAGGACCGGAGUGGACGCAUCACUGGUGUUCGGGUUGUCAUGCCAAUGGCACUGCCCGGUAGCUAAAUGCGGAAGAGAUAAGUGCUGAAAGCAUCUAAGCACGAAACUUGCCCCGAGAUGAGUUCUCCCUGACUCCUUGA